GGUCUGCGGCUUCACUCCUGAAGCCAGCGAGAGCGAGACCACGAACCCACCGGAAGGAAGAAACUCCGGACACAUCUGAACAUCUGAAGGAACAAACUCCGGACACACCAUCUUUAAGAACUGUAACACUCACCACGAGGGUCCACAGCUUCAUUCCUGAAGUUAGCAAGACCAAGAACCCACUGGAAGGAACCAAUCCCAGACACAGCACCAUAAGGGAUCCACCUAUGACAGAAACAUCUCUUACCAGGUCCCACCUCCAACGUUGGGAAUCACAUUUCAACAUGAGAUUUGGAGAGGACAAGCUAUCCAAACCAUCUCGGAGUCCCAUGGUGCAUCUCCUGCUGUUCCCAAUCUACUCAUCCUAGGAACCAACUCAGGUCAGGAGAAGCAAGGAAAGCCUUACAACCUGUUACUGACCGGAGGGGAUGAAGGAGACAGGGAAACUACAACACAUGGAAUGUGGUAUCCUGAAUGGGACCCUGGAACCAAAGAAUGACACUGGGGAAGAACUGCUGAAAUUCAAGUAAAAUGUGGAGUCUCGUUAGUGGCAAUGUACCAAGGUUGGAUUCUGAGUUAUAAUAACGUACCAUAAUAAUGUAAGAUGUUAUCAGUAGAGGAAA
ensembl:lncRNA novel transcript